UGGAUAUUCAACACAAGGGGCCGGUGGUAGGGUGGCACAUUAUUUAGUUAUCCUAUCAUUAUCAAGGUUUGCAUACUCAAAUCAUAAGUGUGGGAACCCAAUAGCACUCUAAAUCAAGAGUGACAUAGACUUGUUCUGUUUUUUUAAUUAAUGUAAUAUUAAUAGUAAUAGUGCUAAAUACUGACCCCCCCCUAAUGUUCACCCCUAGCCAGUGGACUGGGACCUGACUGGGGCAGCAGACUGGGACCAUCUGACUGGAGAAACACACCUCUGUACUAUGGAGUCCAUGCAGCAUUGGAAACAGCCUAUGGUGAGACUGGCACUUGUCCAUCAGCUUACAGUGUUGGAGCAGCCGGCCCGUUGCCAUAUGGUCCAUCACCUGACGGAGGACAUGCAUCUGACCCACCACCUGGUGAUGGCAAUCCAGCCGGCAGAAAAGCGGCCAGCCCACUGCACUACUGGAGAGAAUUAGGCAGCUCAUCAGAUCAGAGCAACGUCCCAACAGCUACUGAGUGGACACCUUGCGAUGGAUGUAAGAAGGAGUUUGAGAAGCUCAUCUGUCAGAAGAGGGAAGUCGAUGAGGUCGCCUCAAAAAUAGACCCAGGCCAGCUCCAAGAGAUCCAGAAUCUCAUAAAUUUAAUUGGACAGAGUCAUCGCGAUCAGGAGUCAGACAGCACCAACCCUUCUGCAACAUCAGGCCAUCAGGAACUGUUUCCUGACAGCGGCUUGUUUGUCUCUUCCUUCCGACUUGCUGCUAUGCACCAGUCAGCGAGACAGGACUCAAUGCGUCUGUUUCACUCACUGUUUGACCACUUCUUCACUGUGGAAGAGUGUCAAAAGAACUCAUUCAAGUUUUACAUGUUUUUGUCUUGCAGCCUAUGUCCU
ensembl:lncRNA